rfam:Nicotiana attenuata strain TT chromosome 6, whole genome shotgun sequence.
GGGAAUGUAGUUCAGUCGGUCAGAGCACCGUCUUAUCAAGGCGGAAGAUGCGGGGUUCGAGCCCUGACAGUCCCG